UACGUAGGGUGCAAGCGUUAAUCGGAAUUAUUGGGCGUAAAGCGCGCGCAGGCGGUUUCUUAAGUCUGAUGUGAAAGCCCACGGCUUAACCGUGGAAGGUCAUUGGAAACUGGGAGACUUGAGUGCAGAAGAGAAGAGCGGAAUUCCACGUGUAGCGGUGAAAUGCGUAGAGAUGUGGAGGAACACCAGUGGCGAAGGCGGCUCUUUGGUCUGUAACUGACGCUGAGGCGCGAAAGCGUGGGGAUCAAACAGG
rnacentral:rRNA from 1 species